UACGGAGGAUGCAAGCGUUAUCCGGAAUGAUUGGGCGUAAAGCGUCCGCAGGUGGCUGUGUAAGUCUGCUGUUAAAGAGUCUAGCUCAACUAGAUACAAGCAGUGGAAACUACACGGCUAGAGUACGUUCGGGGCAGAGGGAAUUCCUGGUGUAGCGGUGAAAUGCGUAGAGAUCAGGAAGAACACCGGUGGCGAAAGGCGCUCUGCUAGGCCGUAACUGACACUGAGGGACGAAAGCUAGGGGAGCGAAUGGG
rnacentral:rRNA from 1 species